ensembl:snRNA Gm23462 U6 spliceosomal RNA
GUGCUCGCUUCAACAGCACAUAUACUAAAAUUGGAACAGUACAGAGAUUAGCAUGGCUCCUGCGCAAGGAUGAUAUGCAAAUUUGUAAAGCAUUCCAUAUUUUU